UACGUAGGGGGCGAGCGUUGUCCGGAAUUAUUGGGCGUAAAGAGCGUGUAGGCUGUUCGGUAAGUCUGCCGUGAAAACCUGAGGCUCAACCUCGGGCGUGCGGUGGAUACUGCCGGGCUAGAGGACGGUAGAGGCGAGUGGAAUUCCCGGUGUAGCGGUGAAAUGCGUAGAUAUCAAAGAGGAACACCUGCGGCGAAGGCGGGUUGCUGGGCCGACACUGACGCUGAGGCGCGAAAGCUAGGGGAGCGAACGGG
rnacentral:rRNA from 1 species